GUUUUUAUAGUGUAUUCAACAUAUUGUCCUUUCAAGACAAAGAUAAAUGAUUUUAAAAACA
rnacentral:tRNA from 1 species